rnacentral:rRNA from 1 species
UACGUAGGGGGCAAGCGUUAUCCGGAUUUACUGGGUGUAAAGGGGGCGCAGACGGCAAUGCAAGCCAGGAGUGAAAGCCCGGGGCCCAACCCCGGGACUGCUCUUGGAACUGCAUGGCUGGAGUACAGGAGGGGCAGGCGGAAUUCCUAGUGUAGCGGUGAAAUGCGUAGAUAUUAGGAGGAACACCGGUGGCGAAGGCGGCCUGCUGGACUGUGACUGACGUUGAGGCCCGAAAGCGUGGGGAGCAAACAGG